rnacentral:lncRNA from 1 species
GCAAUUCUCUUUUUUCUUUUUCUUUUCUUUUUUUCUUUUUGCGGUUUGUUUAUUGCCUGUCUCCUCCGCCUCAAGACACAGACCCACAAGGACAGGGCUGUGCCGCUCUCCUUCAGCACUGUAGCCCCAACAUCACUGUAGCCCCAGCAUCGGUCCCAGUGCCUGGCCCCUCGUAGGUCUCUGUAAGGGUUUGUCCAAUGAAUCAACGUAACAAUAUGAAAUGAUUUGGGAUGAGUUGUGAUAUGUUGCUGGAUGGUGGAUCUGUGAAUUAGUGGUGUGGGUGGCGUAACUGAGAAUAUCAUGGAAGGCAAGUACUCUCCUUUCCUGUAAACCGUUGCCUGGUGGAGAGGACAGCGGGCAGGAGGAUCACUCUGCCCUCUGCAGUGUCCCCACUAGGCUCGUGGUCCUGAACGCCACGGGGCCUCACCCAGGCUUCUUCCUUGUCACAACCUCACCUCCCAACCUUCCGAAGGCAUUGGGCUCCCUGGAUGUUAGAGCUGAUGGGACCCCAGAGCUUCCAGAGAUGGCUCCACACCACGGUCACCUGGGGGACCUUUCAAAACUAUUCGUGGACCCUGCCGGGAACUUAGGUCCUGACCCUGCCACACACUGUGUGAGCUUGGGAAAUUUACUUAACCUCUCUGUGCCUUGAUUUCUUCACCUCUUAAAUGGAAAUAACAACAAUGCCAACCUCAGAGAUUUGCUGUACGGAUCCACGUCAACAGUGUAGGUGAAGCUCUUGGUGCAGUGCCUGACUCAGUACCUCCUGAAUCAACAUGGCUCUUGGUGCAGUGCCUGACUCAGUACCUCCUGAAUCAACGUGGCUAUUAUUGUACCAAUUAUCUCACCACUAGUUAGCGGCCGAUGUGGGGCGAGCAUCCAAGCCUCCUGAUCCUGGAUCCAGUGUUCUUUCCAACACGUCACUCUGAAUGUGCACGCAGCCUUCCCUCUGAGGCCAGGCUCGAGGGCCACAGAGGGGGCAUGUGGCUGCUGCCUUGGGACCCUUUAGUCAAACCGAAUGGAAGAGAGAACUGCAUCUGAGAACAAAGGGCAGAUCUGACCCACGGGGAACAGACGGCUUGAGAGUGUGGGAGUCGCAGGCAGUUUUUCGGUCCUUUGGGAAGCCCGCUGGCUGCUCCUGUUAGUAUUCCACCGUGGAAAUAUUGGGAACCAAAAAUAGAUGUUCUUGAGGGGAGCUUAAUCCUCUGGGCUUUCCAAAACAGCUGCUGGAGAGUUCCAGGAACCAACCACCAGGGGGCAUGACCAUCCCAUGCGCUUGGUGGCUGGUGAGCCAGAACUGGUGGGAAGUUUCCAUGAAACUCCCAACACCCUCCCACAGCCUCACACCCCAGCCUUGUCCUGAUCAGGACCCCGUGGCUGGGAUCCCCACAGAUCAGCAGCUCUGUGUCCUAAGGAAACUGUUUUGCAACUCAGCCCAUGGCUCUCCGCCUCGGGGACCCUUAAGAGCAGCAAGAGGUCUUGCAUCUAUUUUCUUGGCUUCUCCCCUGCACCCCUCCCCCAGGACUAGCCCAGCGCUGGAUACACAGCAGGCACGUGUUGGUUGGAAGAGGAACGUAGGAAGUCCGGUGUAAUGAAUGAAUUAUGGAAAGGAAACCACCCCCGUUUGGGGGAUGGUGAGAGCGGCGAGUGCAUCUCAGCCUGGGGGAGAGAAGGAUAAUUUAAAAAACACCAGGAGUUCCUGUCAUGGCUCAGUGGUUUACGAAUCCGACUAGGAACCAUGAGGUUGCGGGUUCAAUUCCUGGCCUCGCUCAGUGGGUUAAGGAUCCGGCGUUGCCGUGAGCUGUGGUGUAGGUUGCAGACCAGCGGCUACAGCUCCGAUUCCACCCCUAGCCUAGGAACCUCCACAUGCUGUGGGAGCGGCCCUAGGAAUGGCAAAAAGACAAAAAUAAAUAAAUAAAUAAAUAAAAAUAAAUAAAAAAUAAAAAAAACACCAUUGCUCCACGGAGCAUGCUGGGUACCAUCUUGGCAGGGAGGGAGCCAGGGAAACUUCCUUGGUGAGAUGACUUCUAAGCCAGGAUAAGGUUUUGCAGGGGAUGUGGCCAAGGGGUAGGAGGAUUCCGGGCAGAGAGGACAGCAUGGGCAAGGGGCUAGGGGAGAUUGUGAGUGAGGCACCUUCUAGAACUGAAGUCAUCUAACUUCUGGAGUGUGGGGCAGGCUCCAGCCCCAGGGGAAGUGAAAGCUGGGGGCGGGGGACAAGCUGCACCACAGCGGGUACCCCUAGGCACACCUGGCAUUAGGCCUCUGGCAGCAAGACUGCUGUCCAGGCGGUACCCUGGGGAGGGCAUGGUUCCCUGUGCCCCUGGGCCUGUGGGGGAAUCUCCAGGGCCUCUGGGGAACCAGAGAGUCUGAGCUCUUGGAGGCAGAUUCCAUCAGGGGAGCUGAGUUACUGCUCAUGGUCCUGGGCUGAGCAGCUAGUGUCCAGGGAGGGGAGGGGAGGAAGCUGUAGCUGUCACCCUGACUCCUUCAACCCCAGGCUGUUGCCAGGACCCUGCACACACAACUAAAGGUUUCUUAUCACCUCGGUUCAUGAACCUGCUGGGAAGACUGAGAAGCCAGUCCUCUGGUGGGGGUGGAAUGGAAUGGGGAAAUGAGAAGGUGACACCCUUGGUGUCAGGAGUCCGCUCACAUGUCACAUGUCACAUCUGCAUCCCAUGCAUGCUACAUACACUACCGAGCCUGAGCCUAGCGCCAAGCUUGUGAAGUGGGUACUUCAGCACU